rnacentral:rRNA from 1 species
GAUGAACGCUGGCGGCGUGCUUAACACAUGCAAGUCGAACGAAGCAUUUAGGUAUUGAAGUUUUCGGAUGGAUUUCCUUUAUGACUGAGUGGCGGACGGGUGAGUAACGCGUGGGGAACCUGCCCUAUACAGGGGGAUAACAGCUGGAAACGGCUGCUAAUACCGCAUAAGCGCACAGAAUCGCAUGAUUCAGUGUGAAAAGCCCUGGCAGUAUAGGAUGGUCCCGCGUCUGAUUAGCUGGUUGGUGAGGUAACGGCUCACCAAGGCGACGAUCAGUAGCCGGCUUGAGAGAGUGAACGGCCACAUUGGGACUGAGACACGGCCCAA